UAACGCUGGGUAACCUGCCUCAUACAGGGGAAUAGCAGCUGGAAACGGCUGAUAAAACCGCAUAAGCGCACAGUGCCGCAUGGCACAGUGUGAAAAACUCCGGUGGUAUGAGAUGGACCCGCGUCUGAUUAGCUGGUUGGCGGGUAACGGCCCACCAAGGCGACGAUCAGUAGCCGGCCUGAGAGGGUGAUCGGCCACAUUGGGACUGAGACACGGCCCAA
rnacentral:rRNA from 1 species